AUGGGGGCAAAAUGAUCCCUUAACCGGGAAGGAGGGCUGUGGUUGUGGGUCUCUGCUGCUUCUCACCAUGUUGAGUUUUAUGUAUUCCCGCCAAACGGGUUUGGACGACCCUCUACGGCUUCGCCGGGCUGAGUCUACCAGGAGGGUAUUGAGCUUGGAGUUGAACAAGGACAGAGAUAUAGAAAGGAUCCAUGGAAGUGGUAUUAAUACCUUGGAUAUUGAACCUGUUGAAAGUCGAUACAUGUUAUCAGGUGGUUCAGACGGGGUUAUUGUAUUGUAUGAUCUUGAAAACCUUGGUGGAAAACCAUGCUACACCUGCAAAGCUGUUUGUUCUGUUGGAAGAAGCCAUCCUGAUGUCCACAAAUUCAGUGUCGAGACUGUUCAGUGGUACCCUCAUGACACUGGCAUGUUUACAUCAAGCUCAUUUGACAAAACACUGAAGAUAUGGGACACAAAUACGUUACAAUCUGUGGAAGUGUUUACGUUUGAGGGAACUGUGUACAGUCACCACAUGUCUCCUAUUGCUACCAGGCACUGCUUAAUUGCAGUUGGUACCAGAAACCCCAAAGUACAGCUUUGCGACUUGAAGUCUGGAUCUUGCUCUCACAUUUUGCAGGGUCACAAACAGGAAGUUCUAGCUGUUUCUUGGUCACCCCGUUAUGAAUAUAUUUUAGCAACUGCAAGUGCCGAUAGUAGAGUCAAAUUAUGGGAUGUCAGGAGAGCCUCAGCUUGUCUGCUUACUCUUGACCAACAUAAUGGAGAAAAAUCAAAAGCAUCUUCUGAAGCAGUAAAUACUGCCCAUAAUGGAAGAGUUAAUGGCUUAUGCUUUACAAAUGAUGGUCUUCACCUUCUGACCAUUGGUACAGAUGAUCGCAUGAGACUCUGGAACAGUUCUAGUGGAGAGAACACAUUGGUAAAUUAUGGGAAGGUAUGCAAUGAAAGUCGAAAAGGUGUCAAAUUUGCUGUCUCUCAUGGCUGCAGUCCAGAAUUUGCCUUUGUGCCAUAUAGUAGCACUAUUGCUCUUUAUACAGUUUACUCAGGAGACCUAAUAACAGUGCUUAGGGGACAUUAUAGCUCAGUUGACUGCUGCGUCUUCCAACCUAACUUUCAGGAACUCUAUAGUAGUGGCAGAGAUGGCAAUAUCCUUGCCUGGGUGCCAUCUUUGAGGGAGCCAGAGCCUGAUGAUAUAUCUGGAAAGUUGCAACCUCAACAGAACUUAAAUCCUGCUUAUCAAGACACAUGGAGCAGUAGCGAUGAUGAUGGAUGAAUUCCUAAUCAUUUGUUGACCAAACCAGAUAUCCACUGCUUUCUGAAAGAAGGCUGUUGGCCAAGGCUCCGGCCUGUUUGUCAAAUUCAGCACCAUCCAAUACACAAAGCCCUUCUCCAGAUCCAAAGCAAGCCUCUAGACCCACUAUGCCCAAGAAACAAGGUCCAGGAUGUGCAGAAUGCAGUGCUUCAAAUGUUGGAGUGCAAGAUUUCUCACCACGAGCUUCUGAGAAUUGUAGCCUGACAUCUGAAGUGUCGGACAUCAUUGCCCCCUCCUACUGUAGUCAAAGAACUGUACAAGUAUUGCUUCUUUUCCUCUUUUCCAUUUGCUUUGCUGUCGUACAACAAACACAACAGGCCUUUUUUGCUUCUUGUCUUUUUACUUCAAGGGAGCCUUGUGUUCAGAUUCCAUAAUCUGUAUCAUGGUUGUUGUUGCAUGUAGAUCAACUAUUAUUUUCUCUUCUUUGGCAUGUACAUGUUUUACACUGAGGAUUAUUGUAGGAGAGAGCCAUAUUGUUUCUAAGGCUGAAAUAGUUUUGUUGUGCAUACAAGGGCAAUUGUACAAGAAGUUUUUCCAGUUUGCCAGUCGAUUGCACUACUAGUGGAUGAACUGGCGCAUGAGGGCAGCUACCUAAUGCUUACCACUGCUUGCAUAGCUGACAUUACACAGUCGAGUAAUGCAACAGGAUUUAGAGCUCAGUUUUAUUUCUCAACUGCUAAUGGCUUAGAUACUUUUGUUUUGUAAUAUAAAAGUUGAAAUCUUGCUUUAUCCAUGACUCUGGCGACAGACCUGCAUGAUAAAUUUCCACAUAUUAAUUAUAAGAGUUGCAUUAACAUCCAGUCCUUAAAAAGAUAUAUUUGAUAGAAAACAUUCCAAGAUUCCACGUGGGAAGGUAUAUGCAUAAUCCCUGGACCUCUACACCUCUAAUACAACCUGUACCUUUCCUAAUUUACAUGUAAGAAGUCAACCUGGCACAUAAACUUUUGCCACUCUCAAUUCUCUGCGUUCGUGACAAGCCACCAGUGUACACCUAAAGGAGUGAGCUUUGGUCCACAAAAGCUAGCAGACUGUAUGAUUUUUUCAGUCAUCUAAGGAAGGUCUUACAUAUCCAGCAUUCCAAGAUUUAAGUUUCCUUCAUCCAUCUGGAAAGUAUUACUGAUAUUCCACGUGUAAACAGAUUUCCUU